ensembl:lncRNA
GAUACAUUCACUGUAUUCACUGGCUCCACUAAUGAGCUUAGAUUUAUUAUGCUCGGCGGUGAUGAAGACCGUAUGGAUGCUGCAUGUGACAUCAUUCUUAGGGAAAGAGCCAAAAGAACUGAAAUACGGAACAGAAAAGGUCAUGUGUUUGGCAGAAAGAUCUGUGUGGUGAAAACACCUUCCACCUGCAUGAGUCAUAAGGCAUCACGUUGUUGCUUUGAAUCAAGAGACAAAUCUAUGAAAGAUGAGAUGGUAGAUUAUGCAUCUCAGGUCUUUCCUGGACCGCAUGCAUUUCUGUUAGUGGUCAACAACAGGAAAGUGACUGAGAAGGAGCAUAAUAUUUCAAAAGAAAUUGCCAACGUGUUUGGCAAAGAAGCUCUAGACUAUGUUGUGUUAUUGAUCAUUGGAAGAACUGAACCGAAAGGGAUCGACAGUGUCAGGAAGCAUGUGAAUAGGUGUUAUACAUUAGAGGACAAUGAGCAAAGUGUUCAAGGUCUAUUCAGAGAAACUGAAAUAAUGACACAAAACAAGGAAUCCACAUUCUUUAUUCAGUCAUCAUAUGAAAAACUCAUGAAAAAGGCAUUUUUAUCAUGGGAAAAGGAAAAACAGGCAGAAAUGAGAAAAGAAAAUGAGAGACUUUUAAAGAAGAAAGAAGAACAGCACUCCGAAAAAGUGAAUGAAUUAACAGAAAAGUUCAGAAUUAUUGAAAACAAACUAAGAAACGACAUAGCAGAAAAAGAUGACCAGCAUGCACAAGACAUGCUUAAAAUAGCAGAAACAGAGUAUAAUCAAAAGAGAGACAAAGAGACUUUGAAAUGUUUCAUGAUUGAUCAUUUUAUACGCAUAACCAGUCAGCAUGCGGUGCAACCGGUCAUUUCAAGUUCCCAUGAGAAUCCACUGAUUAAAAAAUUAGAGGCAGACAGUGAGACAAACCCAAGAAAUAUAUUUUCUUCAAUUAUUGAUGAUCUGGUAGGCAAGUUAAAGACUUCUGAAGAGACUGAGAGCUACUUGUUUGAAACUUUUCUUCAGCGCGAGAAUGAACAGAAAAAUAAAACUGAAGAACUCCAAGAAGAAGUUGAGCAACUCAAAGCAAAGAAAAGUGAGCUAGAAAAGAAACUGAUGGAAGCAGAUGAAAGAGAAACAUGGGCUAGUAAACAGGUGGAGGAAACACUAGAUAGAAAUCUGCCCACAGAUUUGGAUAAACUUCAAGGGGUUCUGGAUAGACAAGACAUACAAGAGGAGCAUAAAGAGAAAACACAUGUAAUCAGUGGAUCAGGACAUGAGUCAACUUCACCUGUCUUAUCUGAAGAAAAUAAAGACAGACCUCUAGAUAAAACAGUGAGAGAGAUAAAGAGCAGAAAGGAAGAUUCACAAGCCAGUGAAUCACACAACUCUGGAGGCUUCAAACUUGUGCGACGGAAGAGUAUUAACAAGCCACCCGAUAGUAAGUAUACAGUACAUCAAUUCAAGCAUCAUCCUAAACACUACAGCACAAGAUGUGUUAUGCUUUACUAUGUUUUCUGUCUCCUACAGUGUCUGAAGAUCAUAGUGGAAAUAAAGAUUCACAAGCCAGCGGAUCAAGUGAGUCUGGAGGAUUGUUAAACCCGUUUCUUGCACAUUAAAUCUCAAUAAGACAUGGCACCUAAAAUUAUCUCUGUGCUUCUGUUUCUAGUGACUGGAAGUGAACAUGGACAUCUACAUGUUCUCUGAAGAUUGUGAUUACAAAGAGGUGAAUUUAAGGCUUUCACACUUUUCCAGUGAAGUGUACUUCAUUUAAUCAAUAUUCAUCAGACUGCUGUUAUGUCUUCAGGAAAAGACCACUGAAAACAAUUACUACACAAAAAGCAAAGUGGCAGAUCCUCCUUGAGUGUGAAACACCCAACAAAACAAGUAUAACAUUUUGCCAUGAUGGACAAUAUCUUGGAUUAGACUGUGGAUUAUGGGCAAUUAAACACCAAUGAAUUUAAAGAUAGUAUUAGUGCAUGAAAACCGAAAAUAAAAUAUACAGGAAACAAAAAAAGCAUACCAUAAUGUCUGCAAUAUGAUGUUUGUAACAAAGUUUGUUGCUGCCGCCGCCACCAUGUCGUGGAGAUGCUGUGUGCUUCAUUGUGAAAGCGAAACUACUUUGUUUGGCCUUCCAAAAAAGGAUGAUAUCCGCUUCGUCAUGCCUGGAGCUGAUCCGUGCUGGUCGCUGAGGAAAUACAUCAACUUCGCGCUGUGGAUCGCCGGAUCGGCUUUCACCGUGGACGAAGCGGAGUCCAGCCCGGGGUCGUCACAUGUGGUUGCCUCAAGCCCGCCGGACGCUCCUUCGUCGAAUCCGCCGCCUCUGCUCAAUCUAGUCCUCCGGCCGUUCCUCACUCUAGCCCGCAGGCCUCUGCUCACUCAGGCCCGCCGUGUGUAACGCUGUGUGUUUCAUUGUGAAAGCGAAACUACUUUGUUUGGCCUUCCAAAAGAGGUCACGACUAGAAAUCAGUGGUUAAGUUGUAUUUACAACACUGUUCCAGAACAGUUCAACCCAAAUAUUCAGAUGUGUGCAGCACAUUUUAUGGAGGACUGUUUCCUGAUCCUGGUAGAGUAGACUACAAUGCCUG